GACGAACGCUGGCGGCGUGCCUAAUACAUGCAAGUUGAGCGAUGAAGAUUGGUGCUUGCCCCAAUUUGAAGAGCAGCGAACGGGUGAGUAACGCGUGGGGAAUCUGCCUUUGAGCGGGGGACAACAUUUGGAAACGAAUGCUAAUACCGCAUAGCAACUUUAAACAUAAGUUUUAAGUUUGAAAGAUGCAAUUGCAUCACUCAAAGAUGAUCCCGCGUUGUAUUAGCUAGUUGGUGAGGUAAAGGCUCACCAAGGCGAUGAUACAUAGCCGACCUGAGAGGGUGAUCGGCCACAGUGGGACGGAGACAAGGCCCAAACUACUACGGGAGGCAGCAGGAGGGAAUCUUCGGCAAUGGACGAAAGUCUGAACGAGCAACGCCGCGUGAGUGAAGAAGGGUGUCGGAUCGUAAAAAUCGGUUGGUAGAGAAGAACGUUGGUGAGAGUGGAAAGCUCAUAAAGUGACGGUAACUACCCAGAAAGGGACGGCUAACUACGUG
rnacentral:rRNA from 1 species